rnacentral:rRNA from 1 species
UACGUAGGUGGCAAGCGUUAUCCGGAAUUAUUUGGCGUAAAGAGCGCGCAGGUGGUUAAUUAAGUCUGAUGUGAAAGCCCACGGCUUAACCGUGGAGGGUCAUUGGAAACUGGUUGACUUGAGUGCAGAAGAGGGAAGUGGAAUUCCAUGUGUAGCGGUGAAAUGCGUAGAGGUAUGGAGGAACACCAGUGGCGAAGGCGGCUUCCUGGUCUGCAACUGACACUGAGGCGCGAAAGCGUGGGGAGCAAACAGG